GCACGAAUCCGUUCAAACCGACAAAAGACUCGUGCUCGAACAAAACGCAUGCAGAUCAAGUCUUUCUAGUCCAGGUACUCGUAGUCCUAAAAAUUAAAUACCGUGUUUUACGACUCCCUGGCAACUACCGGUGAUUGCAAUUUCUGCUCCGUUGUAUCUCAUUCUCUCAAAGGAACCAUGAGUCUCGCUUUGAGGUGUGCCCGCGCCCUGCGCCCGGCUGGGAUCCAGCUGCGCUCUCUGUCCAUCAUGGACAUCCACCAUGGAACUGGCGACUAUCAAGGUGAACUUAUUCGAACUCAAGUCAAGAAUCAUAAAGGCAAGGUUUAUGUGGAUAUUCGCAGGUACUGGGUUCCGGAGGAUUCCCCCGCAGAUGAUUUUCAGGCCACCAAGAAGGGUAUCUCUCUGAAUGUGAACCAGUUCGAGAAUCUCGCAGCAGCCAUCCCUCAACUUCGUGAGAUGAUCAAGGAGGAAUCGUAAUGUGCGAUCAGGUCUAGCUCCUGCUGUGGUCAUGCUUACUCUGGCAGGGAACCAUGGGUAGGUGUCAGCAAUGCUACACUAGCCUACAGUAUCAGCUUUGAUGUGCUCCACCCUUUGCGUUUCAUUUAUUGUAGGCUAGCGGACCCGUCGUUGUCGAUCCGUUUUUCUAUGAUUUUCAAGUGUGUGCCUAAUCUCGAUAUCGGCGCUAUCGCUGAAUCUGCUGCAAUAGUGCAAUACAUAGCCCAUAAAGUUAGGAAUAGUCCGUACGUACCUGUAUGUGUACCACAUGUAGAUUAUCGUCAUUACCAUCGUCAUUCAUUACUCCGUUGCCGUGGAAAUAAUAAAAGAUGGAAAAUGAAAUUAUGAAAAAAACA